rnacentral:sRNA from 1 species
UGAUAAUGUCCCUCCUGCGUUACAAAUGC